rnacentral:rRNA from 1 species
UCGCUUCGGGAUGGGCUCGCGGUCCAUCAGCUAGUUGGUAGGGUAAUGGCCUACCAAGGCGACGACGGAUAGCCGGCCUGAGAGGGUGUACGGCCACAGGGGCACUGAGACACGGGCCCC